UACGGGGGGGGCAAGCGUUGUUCGGAAUUACUGGGCGUAAAGGGCUCGUAGGCGGCCAACUAAGUCAGACGUGAAAUCCCUCGGCUUAACUGAGGAAUUGCGUCUGAUACUGGAUGGCUUGAAUCCGGGAGAGGGAUGUGGAAUUCCAGGUGUAGCGGUGAAAUGCGUAGAUAUCUGGAGGAACACCGGUGGCGAAGGCGGCAUCCUGGACCGGCAUUGACGCUGAGGAGCGAAAGCCAGGGGAGCAAACGGG
rnacentral:rRNA from 1 species